rnacentral:rRNA from 1 species
UCUACGGGCGGCUGCAGUGGGGGAUAUUGCACAAUGGGGGAAACCCUGAUGCAGCGACGCCGCGUGUAGGAAGACGGUCCUCUGGAUUGUAAACUACUGUUCCCAGGGACGAAGAUGACGGUACCUGGGGAGGAAGCUCCGGCUAACUACGUGCCAGCUGCCGCGGUAAUACGGAGGGAGCGAGCGUUGUCCGGAAUUACUGGGGGUAAAGGGAGCGUAGGCGGGGAUGCAAGUUGGGUGUUAAAUCUACCGGCUAAACUGGUAGUCGCACUCAAAACUGCAGCUCUUGAGUGAAGUAGAGGCAGGCGGAAUUCCUGGUGUAGCGGUGAAAUGCGUAGAUAUUAGGAGGAACACCAGUGGCGAAGGCGGCCUGCUGGGCUUUUACUGACGCUGAGGCUCGAAAGUGUGGGGAGCAAACAGGAUUAGAUACCCCAGUAGUC